ACAGAUGGAUUCAACAGGCACAUGAUGGCCUUCAAUGACUUCACCUGAUAAAUCUAUAAAUAGAAUUUUAAUUAUGCCAUCCCAAACCAUCAUAGGGAGCCACCCACUCCAGAAUGGACAAUUCCACUCAAGCUUCAAAACCAACAAAAAUCCAGGAGACAACAGAUUUAAAAACCCAUUUUAAAUCUCAGCAGGAUUCAAAGCUCUGGUGCUUUUAUCAGAAAAAAAUCUUCCCCAUGAGGUGGGGAGGCCCUGGCACAGGCUGCCCACGGACCCCUGGGAGUGUCCAAGGCCAGCCUGGGAUGGUGGAAGGUGUCCCUGCCCAUGGCACAAAAUGAUCUUUAAGGUCCUUCCAAGCCAAAGCAGUCCAUAAUUCUAUUAUCUGAAGGGUCUUUUGCAACCUAAAUGAGUGAGGAAAUUCAGCUAGAAGGAGGAUGGGAAGAAUAACGCAGAAUUUUAAAAGCAUUGGUCAGGUGGAAGGGGAAGAGCAGAUCCACAUCCAGUAUGAAUUUUCCCCAUCUGUCCUGAACACAUCCCUCUGAGGAAGCUUUUAUGAAUGCCACAAAACUCUGCAACAGGGCCACUGACACCAACCCAUCCACAAGAUUCCAAAAAAGGGGCACCAAAAGGCUGCAGAAAUCCUGAAAGCAAUCACUCCAUCUCAACCUGGGGACAAAGAGAGCAGCAGGGAGAAAUGAGUGGAUCUUCAGCUGCUGUUGUGGUGUGCUCAAAUCUCAUCUCCUGUUCAUUCAGUCAGGUGAUGACAAGAGGCUGCUACAAAGGAUCCAGCAGAGCAGAGAAAACCAUAAUUGUACAAUUUGUUUAUUCAGCUCUGAUGGAAACUCCAGCACGUUCAGGCUUGGAAUUGCUGAAUGGAGAAAGGAUGAGGGAAAGAAUUGAAACAUUUGUACAACGUCCUGGACGUGAGAAUCGCUUUUAAAAAGGAGAAUUUCCAAGAAUUUCUUGCCUUGAAGACAAGAUUUCCAUAGUCCAACAGCCCAUCCAGCAGCUUGUUUAUUUUGGAGAAUAAUCUGGAAGUGAAUUCAGUGAGCAAGUGGGAAAACAUUUAUUUCAUGUAAUAUUAACAGCAGGAGCCAAGAGGUCAGCUUAGAAAUAGCCAAUAUUCACAUUUCAAAUAUCUGCACACUCCUAGAAAGGAUUUACUUCUCUCAAGGAAACUGGAGGUGAUUUACACUCAUUUUGAUUUUCCCCAACUCCAGCCAAACCAGCUUUUUUUAUUGAAUUAUCAGCACACAGCUACAGCAUUGUCAGCUUUGAAAUGUGUGUUUUCAGGCCUGUAUUGCUGCUUUUAAUAAUAACUGAAAACAGGCUGCAAACAAUUUGUAAUUAUGAUGUUUAUGGUUAUUUUCAUUAUUCAGAAAUUGUAUAAAAAUAAAAGAUAAUGCUGAAAUGCUUGAAAUUCUCACAACAUCAUUAAUCCAACACCUGCAUUUUUAAUGAUCUGCAAUGAGAUCUGCUAAUCAAAAUCACUGGUGCCAAUGACUGGUCUCAGCUGAUGCAAUACUUACUACAAAUUGUGGUUUUUUUAGUGUUACAAAUUGCAAGCAGGAAGAAAACCAAGGUACUACUGGGGAAAAAAAAAAGCUGAAGAGGUGAAAUAGGAAAAUCUAAAGGAGAAAGAAUAAUUUGAUUAUCACAAAGAUGCUCCCAGAUAAUUCAGGAAUUCCUGAGGUUCAAUUUUGAGUAGAAUAUUCUGUUUUCUUCUGCCAACAGAAUAGAAUAAAAGCAAAAAUAAAUGUGUUCAAC